rnacentral:rRNA from 1 species
CCUACGGGAUGCAGCAGUAGGGAAUAUUGCUCAAUGGGGGAAACCCUGAAGCAGCAACGCCGCGUGGAGGAUGAAGGUUUUCGGAUUGUAAACUCCUUUUGUUAGAGAAGAUAAUGACGGUAUCUAACGAAUAAGCACCGGCUAACUCCGUGCCAGCAGCCGCGGUAAUACGGAGGGUGCAAGCGUUACUCGGAAUCACUGGGCGUAAAGGGCGCGUAGGCGGGAUAGCAAGUCAGAUGUGAAAUCCUAUGGCUUAACCAUAGAACUGCAUUUGAAACUGUUAUUCUAGAGUAUGGGAGAGGUAGGUGGAAUUCUUGGUGUAGGGGUAAAAUCCGUAGAGAUCAAGAGGAAUACUCAUUGCGAAGGCGACCUGCUAGAACAUAACUGACGCUGAUGCGCGAAAGCGUGGGGAGCAGACAGGAUUAGAUACCCCGGUAGUC